GGUUCCAUGGUGUAGUGGUUAGCACUCUGGACUUUGAAUACCCAGUGACUUGGGUUCAACUCCCGGUGGGACCU
rnacentral:tRNA from 1 species